GAGGAUGAUCAGCAACACUGGGACUGAGACACUGCCCAGACUCCUACGGGAGGCUGCAGUCGAGAAUCAUUGUCAAUGCACGAAAGUGUGAACAUGCGACGCCGCGUGGAGGAAGACGGCCUUUGGGUUGUAAACUCCUGUCAGCAGGGAGUAAAAAUAGUCUAUUUAAUACAUAGGCCAUUUGAUAGUACCUGCAGAGGAAGUCACGGCUAACUCUGUGCCAGCAGCCGCGGUAAUACAGAGGUGGCGAACGUUGUUCGGAUUUACUGGGCGUAAAGGGUCCGCAGGCGGUUCGGUGUGUCAGAUGUGAAAGCCCACAGCUUAACUGUGGAAUUGCAUUUGAAACUGCCGGACUAGAGUACUGGAGGGGAGAAGGGAACACUUGGUGUAGCGGUGGAAUGCGUAGAUAUCAAGUGGAACACCGGUGGCGAAGGCGCUUCUCUGGACAGAUACUGACGCUCAUGGACGAAAGUUAGGGUAGCGAAAGGGAUUAGAUACCCCUGUAGUCCUAACCGUAAACGGUGUGCGCUAGGCGUGGGUGGCUUUACCCCCAUCCGUGCCUGAGCUAACGCAUUAAGCGCACCGCCUGGGGAGUACGGUCGCAAGAUUAAAACUCAAAGGAAUUGACGGGGACCCGCACAAGCGGUGGAGCAUGUGGCUUAAUUCGAUGCAACGCGAAGAACCUUACCUGGGCUUGACAUAUAGCUGCAUCCGACCCGAAAGGGACGGAGCCUUCGAGGGUGCUAUACAGGUGCUGCAUGGCUGUCGUCAGCUCGUGCUGUGAGGUGUUGGGUUAAGUCCCGCAACGAGCGCAACCCCUGUGUUUAGUUGCCAGCACGUAAUGGUGGGAACUCUAAACAGACUGCCUGUGAAAACAGGAGGAAGGUGGGGAUGACGUCAAGUCAGUAUGGUCCUUAUGUCCAGGGCUGCACACGUGCUACAAUGGGUUGUACAGUGGGAAGCCAAGCCGCGAGGUGGAGCAAAUCCUCAAAACAUCCCCCAGUUCGGAUUGUAGUCUGAAACUCGACUACAUGAAGUUGGAAUCGCUAGUAAAGGCGUAUCAGCUACGACGCCUUGAAUACGUUCCCGGGUCUUGUACACACCGCCCGUCACAUCAUGGAAGUGAGUUGCACCCGAAGUUGUUGAUCCAACCCGUCAAGGGAGGAAGACACCUAAGGUGUGAUUCAUAACUGGGAUGAAGUCGAAACAAGGUA
rnacentral:rRNA from 1 species